GACGGGAUAGUUUAAUUUGGUUAGAACAUUAGAAUCAUAAUCUAAGAGUUAUAGGUUCAAGUCCUAUUCCCGUUA
rnacentral:tRNA from 1 species